rnacentral:rRNA from 1 species
AAACUUUCCACGUGAACUGUAUUGUCUGUUGUUGGGGGCUUGGGCUGGCGUUUCGGCGCCGGCUCGGGCUCCAUCAAACGAGGCUCUGGGCUGCAAAGUCUGGGGUAGUAGUUACUUUUUUGUAA